AUAACUCAGGGAUAGCCUUUCGAAAGAAAGAUUAAUACCUGAUAGUACGUUUUUCAAGGCAUCUUGAAAAAAGUUAAAGAUUUAUUGGUUAUGGAUGGGAUGCGUUCCAUUAGAUAGUUGGUGAGGUAACGCUCACCAAGUCUUCGAUGGAUAGGGGUUCUGAGAGGAAGGUCCCCCACAUUGGUACUGAGACACGGACCAAACUCCUACGGGAGGCAGCAGUGAGGAAUAUUGGUCAAUGGGCGAGGAGCCUGAACCAGCCAAGUAGCGUGGAAAAGGAUGAAGGUCCUAUGGAUUGUAAACUUCUUUUAUAGUAGAAUAAAGUGAGCCACGUGUGGUUUUUUGUAUGUAUACUAUGAAUAAGGAUCGGCUAACUCCGUGCCAGCCGCCGC
rnacentral:rRNA from 1 species